GUGCUCGCUUUGGCAGCACAUAUACUAUAAUUGGAACGAUACAGAGAAGAUUAGCAUGGCUCCUGCACAAGGAUGACACGCAAAUUCAUGAAGUGUUCCAUAUUUUU